UACGAAGGGGGCUAGCGUUGCUCGGAAUCACUGGGCGUAAAGCGCACGUAGGCGGACUCUUAAGUCGGUGGUGAAAUCCCUAGGCUCAACCUAGGAACUGCACUCGAAACUGUUUAUCUUGAGUGCCGGAGAGGAAAGCGGAAUUCCUGGUGUAGAGGUGAAAUUCGUAGAUAUCAGGAGGAACACCAGUGGCGAAGGCGGCUUUCUGGACGGUAACUGACGCUGAGACGCGAAAGCGUGGGGAGCAAACAGG
rnacentral:rRNA from 1 species